GGUCAACCACAAGGCGUCAUUUUGUUUCAGCAAAGUCUAUUGAGCACCGAUUAGGUUUGUUGUGACAACUGAGAAACAGCAAUAAUAAAAACUGGAAUCUGCCAUUUGAGUUCUUCACCUAUCCCCUCAUCACUGCUAUAGCCAAACAGAAGUGAGAAGACGGAAGAAAAGAAUUCUUACAGAGACAAGACGUAAGAGGAAAGAAGAGAAGCAUUUCCUCAAGUGGGCGCCAGAGGAACUUGAGAACCCCAGCCUUUGUGCACGGCUGUGCAACCUGGACUUUGUCGAGACAGGAGUGCAUUACCAUGACAUUUAAGGAGGAGAACAAGCUGCUCUGAAUUGUGUCAAUCUCACUUGUGAUCUAUUUUUGAACAAUGUACUAGAAAGAUAUUCCCGUUCACACAGAACUAGUGAUUUACCCUCUGGUGGAUUCUACCCCUCCAGCUACUUGGCGAUAAAUAAAGCCAGAGUGGAGAGAGAGUGUAAAUAAAAAUUAACUGUAC
rnacentral:lncRNA from 1 species